AUAAUUUAAACAUAAACAUUACAUUACAGAUUUAUAUAUACAAAUUAUUUCGGGAUAAGAGCAUAUAGGAUUUCGAAAUAAUAAUGUGCAGCUCAAUAGAAGUAAGGAUUUCAGCUAAAAUAUACACCGUAUGCCAUUGGUGCAUCAAUGUGGUGAUGAUUGUAGGUUAAUCGUGAUAAAUCACAUUUGUUCGAGGCGGCUCCUAAGGCAUAUAUUGGUGAAUGUCAGAGCUUCUACUUUCGCUACUGAUCUGCUGCUUUGUAUCAUACUGUUGCUCGGAGAAGUAUGACCAACUAUCACCGUACUAGUAAUUUAAAAAGCGUUAGGCGUUAAAAGACGCCAAGGUCCAAAAACGCUUGAGAUGCUAGGCGCUCGCCCGAGCGAAGCGAGGCG
rnacentral:lncRNA from 1 species